rnacentral:rRNA from 1 species
GAAUCUUGCGCAAUGGGCGAAAGCCUGACGCAGCCAUGCCGCGUGAAUGAUGAAGGUCUUAGGAUUGUAAAAUUCUUUCACCGGGGACGAUAAUGACGGUACCCGGAGAAGAAGCCCCGGCUAACUUCGUGCCAGCAGCCGCGGUAAUACGAAGGGGGCUAGCGUUGCUCGGAAUUACUGGGCGUAAAGGGAGCGUAGGCGGACAGUUUAGUCAGAGGUGAAAGCCCAGGGCUCAACCUUGGAAUUGCCUUUGAUACUGACUGUCUUGAGUAUGGGAGAGGUAAGCGGAACUCCGAGUGUAGAGGUGAAAUUCGUAGAUAUUCGGAAGAACACCAGUGGCGAAGGCGGCUUACUGGCCCAUUACUGACGCUGAGGCUCGAAAGCGUGGGGAGCAAACAG